UGGGGAAUAUUGGGCAAUGGGGGAAACCCUGACCCAGCGACGCCGCGUGAGGGAAGACGGCCUUCGGGUUGUAAACCUCUUUUGUACGGGAAGAAGGAAGUGACGGUACUGUACGAAUAAGUCCCGGCUAACUACGUGCCAGCAGCCGCGGUAAUACGUAGGGGACGAGCGUUGUCCGGAAUUACUGGGCGUAAAGGGCGCGCAGGCUGUGCUGCAAGUCAGCUGUGAAAUGUCUGGGCUUAACCCGGGCAUGCGGUUGAGUCUGCAGUGCGGGAAUGCUGUAGAGGAAAGUGGAAUUACCAGUGUAGCGGUGAAAUGCGUAGAUAUUGGGAAGAACACCGGUGGCGAAGGCGACUUGCUGGGCAGCAACUGACGCUGAGGCGCGAAAGCCAGGGGAGCAAACGG
rnacentral:rRNA from 1 species